CCACUCCUGUCCUGUUCUGCCCAGCACAGCCCUUUGUAGUGAACUCAGAAUCCUCGAGCCAAACAGCUGAAGCUAUUUUAUCACAACAAAGGCCUAGUUUGUUCUGUGAGUGUGCAUUUCAUUUCUUCAGUUAAAGCCUUCAGAGACACACAAUAAAUUUGGACCAGGGGAUUUUUAGUUAUUAAUGCUGUCCGAAGAAAGGCAACGUCUCUUUGAGAACCGCAUUGGGCCAUACCCCACAAUGGCAAAUAAUUGAAGUUCGUGAACUGUCUAGGAUCCCAUCAAGGUCACUGGACCCUGUUCUUUUCCUACUUCAAAUCUGCAGAAGCCUACUGAAUGAGAAAGCAGAUAUUCUGACCCAUUGGGAUCAAAACAAAGGCACAGUGAACUCUUCAUAGCAUCAUCUUUGGGAUUACUCAGGAACCAGGACUUUUCACACAAAUGUAAGAAAUUCUACCAAGGAAUCCCUUUACCUAACAGCAUCUUACAAGGCUCCAAUCAGAUGUCAGAAAAGGCCUCUUGAGACAUCAAGCAUUUUGUGAACAACUUAUUCUUAGAUCAAUGGUUUUCCAAAGGCUUUGUGGCCGUGAAGCCCUUUGAAUGAAAAUUAUGUGGAAGCCCAGAGUAAAAGCGAAGCUGCUCUGGAUGAAGCAGUGAAGCAGGCGUAGAGGCCUGAAGCCUACCACAGCAUCUUCCUUUACUACCCUGGUGACACCUAAGGGGACUUCCUUGCAACACCUAGAACUCUUCAGAAAACAGUUUGAAAACCACUGACCUAGACAGCAAUAUGUUUGACCUAAAUGGAAUUCUGAUCUUUUUCUGUACCUCCACUCAACACAAUCCAUGUUCAGUCAAUGCUGAAUAUUGUUAGGAAUACUGUGUGCAAACUGUAGAAAAGUGCAAGAUGGGCAUGUCUUUGCCCCCCAAAAUAGUCAAAUGGGCUGAAAGUGGUGUCAAGUGAACCUAGAUUAACAGCCCUCCACCCCAGAUGGACUUCCAGUGACUGGAAUUGGAUAUAGCCAGAGAGCAAUUCUGUGCACCCUACACUGACAAACCCCCUUAACCAACUACUUUCACAAACAAGAUGUUCUAGUGGUACUUGAAGUACAUGAUUUUGAAGUCUUGACUUUCCGUGGGUACCUGAAUUGCCAGCAAGCUGGUAUUGAAGGUGGUGACUCAUUGAGGCUAUAUUAGACCAACCUGUACCUUUGAGCUCUCAGCCGCAGUACUCUGCUUCAUGUGCAAGAGAUAGCCAUUAACUAUGAAAGCAGAACCAUGCUGCCAACAUUUCCUAAAGGGGCUCAGCACCUGUGUAUCACUCAUCUCCAAACUACAAGUCACUGCAUUAAUCAACUGGUGGCAGGUACACUGCUGCUUGGGUUUUUUGUUUUUUUGGUUUUUUGUUUUUGUUUUUCAGUUUUUCUAUUCCAAGAUAAAUGAGCUCAUAACCUUAAACAAAAAAUCCCAAACAAUUCCUCCUUCACUAGCAUAUCUGCCUAUUCACCAGUAUUAUGACUACUCAGCUCUAACUACGUGUAACAGCUAAUCCUUAAGAGACAAUCUUGGAACAUCCCAUCUCAUAAAUGUGAUUUAAAGUGUAACCAUUGGAAAAUUCCUUCUAGCUAGUAAGAGAUGUUCUUUUAAGAUGAGUCCUUUGAUGUCUAAUGCCAUCAACUAUAGGUGGUAGGAAUAGUUGGAGGCAGGCCCUUUGGCCAGGCCGUGAUUGCUUACUUGCUCUGGCAUUUCAAAUAGCUUAUUGCCUAUGUUUUUGCUGGAAACAUUGACUGACUUGAAAAAAAAUCUACCAAGACUGCAGCUAAAGAUUUUACUAAUAGACUGAAGAGCCUCUGUCCUUGUGGAUGUUAUAAUGGAAUCACAUCUGUCUCGAUACUGUCGUUUUACACUGAUUCAGAGUGGCUGACUUCAUUCCUUGCCAUGAGAUAUUCUCAGGCAUUAAGACAACCUGUUUCUGCAGGAAGGAUUCAAUUCAUAAAUUCUCAGACCAUGUUGAACAAAGAGACUUCAAUUUGUGUCAUGAGAAAAUUUUGUUCCUUUAUGUCACGGUCAAUUUAAGGGCCAGCUGUCCUCCUGAGCUACUCUAAUGAAUGCACUGGUUAAAGAUUGGGAAUGGUGUCUUUAUAUCCUUGUCUCUUAUCCUCUAGACUAAUAGUAAUUAUAUGACUGAUUCUACAUGUCAUCAAAUAAGACCUAGGUCUGGUUCCUCUAGACUGCUCACCCUCAACAAAUGAAAAUAAAAUCUGGAUGAUGAUUAGCCUGCUUGUACAUACAACUUUUAUUUGUAAAAGAAGAAGUUACCUUCAAGUUCAAUUUUCUACCUUCAAAUUGUCGGCUCUUUCUUUCCCUCUGUUUUUUUCCUGUACUUUACAGGAAAAGACAUUGAUCUACACUGCCAGUCAUUGCCUCCUUAGAUGAGUUUAAAAUGAGGAUGAUCAUCUGCUCAAGAGUCUUCAAUGUACACUGCAUAUAAGACUUGGUGAUUGGAAAAACAGCCUAAAACAAACCUAGGAGUUUGCCUACUAUCUCCAUGCCUCAAAUCUCAUCUAAAUUUUCAGCAGCACCAUUCAACCAAUGUGAGGCCUUGACUUGUUUGUGAGAUGUUUCUCAGAGAUGGGCUGAGUUACAGAAGGUGAACACUUGAUUACCAAAGAAAGUAGGGCCAACUUUGACAAACAUGGCUCUGCUGACCCUUGUGGCUCCCAGAUGUAGCAUAGACUCCCAAACAGAACCUCAAGUCUGGAUUGAGAAUAUGGCCGCCUCCUGAGCUGAAAGUUCUCGGGCAGAUGAGCAGAAAAAUGAAAGCUGAUGUAUCUGACUGGCCCUUUCAGAUGGGAAAAUUAUAUCCAGAGCAAGCCCUAUGGAUUAACCCUGGAGUACCCAGGGUGAAACUAAUUUACAGAGCUGCAUUAUUAAUCUGCCUGUUCCUCCAGAUCAUAUCCUGGCUAUUGGUAUGUCUGGCCCUACUGAAGGUACCUUGUUUGUUUAUUUACCUGACUCAGCUCUUACCUGCCUUUUCUGACAUGUUGCUGCAAUUGGACUGACCUUGAGAAGACUAUAGCUGAUUUUAGCCUAUCUUGUGCCUAAUUCCACCAAGGAUUUUUGAAUAGAAGCAACCCACACCUCACCCCACCAGGACAUAAUGUUCACAACAGGAGUGACCAUGCUGUACACUCCUUGACCAGCAGCUUUUUAAAGAUUUUGAGUAUAGAAUAAGCUUCUAUGCUUGCCUACUGUUUGAUCAUUUUUAUCACCUGGGACCUCGCCUAUCCUAUGUGGAAGGAGUACAGCAGAUCAAAAGCAGUGUCCAUUUCUCUCUUCUGCAGUUAAUACAGAGAUGAGUCUGAUUCAUCAGUACUCAUAGAAAUGUACCAGUUCAACUUGGCAAAAGACUUAAAGGAACACAAGAAAAGUUUUCUGUUGAACUUAAAAUUUACCACUGACUCAAAUAACCUCACAGAAUUUUUUUCCAGUGAGAGGCAAGUUGUCUUGCUUCACAUCAGUGGAUGGUCGGGCUCUCAGACUCAUGACUGCUCUGAGUUUGCUUCUGUUGAAACUCUGUGGUAUCAUCCAAAGUAUGCUAUUGGACGUGAUUGUUACUCCAUUCAAAUGGACUGCAGGCUUCCUGCAAACAGGACAAAAUUAUCCAUCAUGGUGUGUUUUUUUGUUGUUUUUUUUUUUGUCUCCGUAAGAAUACGUUUAUUACCAAGGAAGAAACAACGCCAGCUGUUACCAUUCAACUUCAAGAGCAGAGGUUAAGCUUUUUCCGUGUCUCAUCUUAUCCUGGACGUCAGUUGUAUUUGCCCAGCAUCUAUUCCAUCUCAUUGUAAGAACUUCCUGAUGUUUCUUGGGACCACCUCUUCCUAUUUUUAGUCCAUGUGGUUUGAAGAGUCUGACCCAACUUUAGACUUCAUGUGAUUCGGACCACAUCAAUCAGUAAAUCCCAUCUCCUUGACCAUAGUGAUUGGUUCAGGAGUGGUUGUGUGAUUCAAGUUGGUCCAGUGAUACUCAACCCUCAGAGUUUUACUAAACUGUGGAGAAGGAGAAGCUCUCUUUAUUGAGGUGCUUUAGCUUUGUAGAAUGAAAAACUCAAACCAACAGGGCCUACCAUAUUGAAUGAAGCAGUCAAAGAAUGAAGCCAGUGCAGAGGAAAGCAGAGCCAAAAUAUAGAGAGACUUGAAUCCUGAUGACAACAUUUGUGCCCCUGGAUCCCACCGUGCCUGAAGCUAGUAUAUCCCCUGGACUUUUCAGUUAUGUGAACCAAUAAAUACUGUUUUUUGCUUAAGUUA